rnacentral:rRNA from 1 species
AGAUUGAACGCUGGCGGCAGGCCUAACACAUGCAAGUCGAGCGGUAGAGAGGUGCUUGCACCUCUUGAGAGCGGCGGACGGGUGAGUAAUGCCUAGGAAUCUGCCUAGUGGUGGGGGAUAACGUUCGGAAACGGACGCUAAUACCGCAUACGUCCUACGGGAGAAAGGCGGGGGACCUUCGGGCCUCGCGCCAUUAGAUGAGCCUAGGUCGGAUUAGCUAGUUGGUGAGGUAAUGGCUCACCAAGGCGACGAUCCGUAA